GUUCAGUGCUCAACUUCCCGCUCUUAACGAGAUCCGGGAUCCCUUUGGAGAGGCCCUCGGGAGCUGGCGACAGGGCUGGGAGUGGCGUGGUUUCCAAUUGCUCUGACAUCUCUGAAGAAUGUUCUACAGAAGGACCCAAAACGGCCACUUGAGUCACCGGCAUGGCUUCCUCCUACUACAUGCCGUAGACCUGGGAAAACGUUAUGGGUCCCUAGGAUACCCACAUACUCUGCACCUAAUUAGAACUGAAGUGGAGAUGGGAAGCCUUCUCUCAACCGCUGUGAGCUCUCCACCCGGAAAUGUCCUCUGGUGAUUUUCAUAGUCCCAAGCUGGUUUCUGCCUUAUUGAUGGAGUCAUCUCUUCUUUAUAGUACACUGCUUAUUCUUUCUGGGGAUUGUGUUUCCUGGUUUUGUCUACACAUAUAUGUAUAUUCUUGGCCUAUAAGUUCUGUUUCUGAAAGAUGCACUUGCACUGUGUUACAGCCACACCUUUGAGAGAAAUGCUGGUGGGGCUGGGUUUUGCAGUGCAGAUGCCCUUCAUGAGGAUAGAACAAGUUGCAGGGAAUUUAUUUUUAUUUUAAUAAUGGAAGAAGCUGGCCUGGCGCGGUGGCUCAUGCCUGUAAUUCCAGCACUUUGGGAAGCCGAGGAGAGCGGAUCACCUGAGGUCAGGACUUCGAGACAAGCCUGGCCAACAUGGCGAAACCCCGUCUCUACUAAAAAUACAAAAAUUAGCUGGGCAUGGUGGUGGGCACCUGUAAUUCCAGCUACUUGGGAGGCUGAGGCUGGAGAAUCACUUGAACCUGGGAGGCAGGGUUGCAGUGAGCAGAAAUCACACCAUUGUACUCCAGCCUGGACAACAAGAGUGAAACUCCAUCUCAAAAAAAAAAA